CAUUUCCUCCUCCUACCAUUUCCGAUAUAUUUAUGUAUUAUUAUAAUACACAUUUUUAUAUCUCUCACUACAAUAUCUCCAUUUCUAACCUACACCACACCACCACCACCACCACCACCGCCACCGCAUCAUCACACUACUCAUACUCUUAGUACCAUUACUAAGACUGCAAUCCCAACUGAACUAUUAGUGGUGGUGUGGCCAAAAAGAAAGCAAAAACCCGUGCUCCUCAUUUUCCGACGCAUUUACACGUUUGUCUCCGCUGGAGAAAGUCUUCUGCGGCGACUACCCCGACUGCGAGCAGCAGCAGCAGUGUCAACCACAUUAUACUCGUCAUUGUUUAUUUGUUAAGGGUGCACCGCCGCCACCACUUCGCAGCAUGUUGACAACUGACUCCACUCCAUUCUGACAACAUUCCGUUAAUCUCUGUAUUAUGCAAAGUUGUACCAGCUCGUCCUCUUCUUUGUCUCAACGACAACCAUCACUGCUCACAUCCCUUUGACGACGAGGCAAAAAUCGCACGAGAUGUGCUCGCUCCACACCACUCGGACGAGGCAUAUUUAGCAUUAGCAUUUGCCUUCCUGGCUUAAAACAAAUACUUGAUAGCCUUUCGCAGAUUGUCGAGUAAACCAGAGUAACUAACAAAGUCUAACGUGGAGAAAGCGGGAGGAGGAGGCGGCUAGGAGCCAAAAUCUCGAAUUUUUACAGAAUAACAUAACACUAAAAUCUAACGCUUUCUUCUUCUCAGAAGGAAAAGAAAGGAGUAAUGUCAUGUCGUCGUCGUUGUCGUCGUCGUCGUGUUUCUACACUUUCUUUUUGGUUUAAUAAGGGGAUGGACUUGACACACGGGCCAAUGCGAGUACGCCAUCAUCAUCGUCGCCGUCGUCGUCGUCGUGUGUAGUAUGUUAGAGACAAUAGAGUGACACAUGCAGUGCUGCUGCUCUUCCUGCUAAUCAAUGCGCCAUACUCGCACUCUUUUCGUCGUCGAGAUGCUCGUUCUUCUUUAUUGCAAGCAUUGAUUUCGUUUCAUUAUGUUGCACCUUCCACCUCGCACUUUGAGUUUCCACUUUGAGUCUGUAUUGCAUUUUUGUUGGUUUUUUCCCUCUAAAUGUAAGCCACCCUAUCGGCAAGCCAUGCACAUGUAGUGCAUUGCAUUAUAUAUGUGUACGAUAAGCUGGUUCAUUGUUAUCCCUGACUUUCAUCCGGUUAAAAGCUAUGCCAUCACUCAUUUCAUUAAUCUGCACUUGUGCGUCUUGCUUUCUGAUUUUGAAUGGUUAUUGCGGUUGUUCAUUGGGCUUUGGAUGGAAGCUAUUUUCCUUUGUAGUUUCGGAAAAAUAAGAAUAAGAAGACCAGAUUUGGAUUAGAGUAUACAAGUUGAUGCUCAGUAACUGGUCGUCGUUCCUCAGAGGAGUGAGUGCCAUACCGUACCAUAUACUUUGUUUAAGUAGUGACGUUCCAAGCAAAAAAGUGAGAGACGCACAAGAGCAGCAACUAAUAAUAAACAAGUGCUACUACAUUAUUCCAUCACAAGUUUUUGUUUUUAAAUAUCAAUUUUGCUUCCAGACCAUAACUAAGCACGAGAUGUGAAGCAAGAUAAAAACGUAUUGACAAUCUCGUAAACAUGGUGGAGGGAGAAAGCUACACGCUUUCCUUAUUCCGUCCCAAGGAUUGCCAUUUAUAUUCAAAAAGAAAUGAACACGUUUAGAAGUCAACCGCAAAACAGCUACCAGAUACUGGAUGGAUGGAUAGGGUUUGUAAUGUGGGGAAAGCAGCUACUCCGAACUCUGAACGAAAUUUUAUCAACUUUACGUGCACGUAAAAUUUGUUAGGUUACUUAUUUCAGUGGCGACGCACAAUUAGAAAGCCAUAAAUCUGUGAAUACACAAAGUACGAAAAUCAGAUUUAAGUAGUUCUCAUACAUAUAUUCACUUUCUCUCUUCGUGGAAAAUCGUUCAUUCAUUCGUAAUGAUGAUGAUGAUGUUUACAAUUUAAGACCAUGCAGGUACAUAGAUACAUAUGUAAAUACGUAUAUAUUAUGGUGUGUUUCCUCAAAUACUUGCAAAUUAAAUGGUUAUUUAUAUUUAAAAAAUUAAAAUUUCAUAUUUUGUAUCAUACAUUCUUCAACUGCAAAUUAAAACUGGUCAUGAAUUGGUAUCCUCGAGAAAGCAAACUGCUCUGGCUAUUCGUAUCCGAUUUAAGUCGAAUGAGAGGCUUGCUGCAUGGCUGCACAAGUUUCAUUAACGCUGCACU